UUGGCGAUUUGUCUGAUUCUGGUUUUGAGC
rnacentral:piRNA from 1 species